UCACACUUAUUCUGAUUGGUUUAACAUAUAUUAACACCGUUUGUCAAAGAAAACAAAUUGAAGCCUUCAAGAAGUGACCUAACAAGUCAAUCCAUUUUAACCCAUAUUGAGCCACGUUCCCCUACUACAAUUGUGUGCCCAGAUACCUAUCGACCAAGCUGCUGCCACCAGAAACAAAGCAAAUUUCCCAUCACCAUCCGAGAACAACCAGGAGAAGAGCCCAUGGAUUAUGGUUUUGCGUACUAGUCGGUUUCGAUGAACCUUCUUCCGCUUCCGAAUUGGGUCUGGACUAUAACAACGACGUCGAUGAUGAUGAUGACGACGGUGGUGGUCUAUAUGCGAUACACAAAAUAGCUCAAACCCAUAAAUUCAUCUUUAUCGUUCAUUUGUGUGCUACUGUCGGCUGCCGUUACCUGUGUAAUCAUAUACAUAUUUAAUGCAGAUCUAUAAAUAAUUUAUUGCGUCUGAGAGCAAUUUUCAUUUUUGCUGCGUCCUGCCUAGUGCUUCGUCUCGCAUGUUUGUCUAGGACGAGGAGGAUCUCAAAGUGUGAACAAAAUGGGAACCAUCUACGGGAAAAACUACAGUGUUAUUGCUAUCCAUGAAAGCCGACGAACGAGCAAACGACAAAUCAACACCAAUGCUUGAUAUACACCGUUGAUCAGAAACAACAGUUGUUGUUACCAGCAAUGUGGUGAGCUUCGAUAUUACAGUCAUUGACGCAGUGUUGCAAAUGUUGAUUUUGGAAACAAACAUUUAUUCAAGUAAAAGAAGGGCCCUGUUGGUUAUACGAUAAAUCGUCGCUGUACCUUGCAUCGUGGGUUUACGAAAUUAUUUAUGUGGACAAAGUUAUUAGCGAAACAUAUGAAUUAAUAUAGAAAAAACCGUACAAAAGCCAAGUGUCCUUAGCACCCAUUUGCAGGCUGAGCCAUCAGAAUUAUUGGCAAAUUUAAAUUUCGGAUCACCCUAAAGAGUCACACUGUAUGUAAGAAUCGCAAACUUCAGCAAGAGCAUGUGAUUCAGCUCAAAGAAGCCGUUCUACUAGUGUUUCCUGAAACCUUUCCCCCUUUUCCAAAAUAGGAUUUGUGCUACCUGUUCUGCUAACUGCAUCGCAUAAUACGAAUUGAUUUAAUUUUCCACACUAGAUUAGUCGCAAGAUAUCGAA